rnacentral:rRNA from 1 species
UCCAGCAGCCGCGGUAAUACGGAGGGUGCAAGCGUUAAUCGGAAUUACUGGGCGUAAAGCGCACGCAGGCGGUUUGUUAAGUCAGAUGUGAAAUCCCCGGGCUCAACCUGGGAACUGCAUUUGAAACUGGCAAGCUAGAGUCUCGUAGAGGGGGGUAGAAUUCCAGGUGUAGCGGUGAAAUGCGUAGAGAUCUGGAGGAAUACCGGUGGCGAAGGCGGCCCCCUGGACGAAGACUGACGCUCAGGUGCGAAAGCGGGGCACAUUU